rnacentral:rRNA from 1 species
CAGGAGGCAAACCGGGGGAACUGAAACAUCUAAGUACCCCGAGGAAGAGAAAUCAACCGAGAUUCCGAAAGUAGCGGCGAGCGAAAUUGGAUUAGCCCUUAAGCUUUUAAUGAGACAGAUGAAGGCUCUGGAAAGUGCCGCAAUAAAGGGUGAUAGCCCCGUAAUCGACAUCUCAUAAUCAGUGAAAACGAGUAGGGCGGGACACGUGAUAUCCUGUCUGAAUAUGGGGGGACCAUCCUCCAAGGCUAAAUACUACUGACUGACCGAUAGUGAACCAGUACCGUGAGGGAAAGGCGAAAAGAACCCCUGUGAGGGGAGUGAAAUAGAACCUGAAACCGUGUACGUACAAGCAGUAGGAGCACCUUCGUGGUGUGACUGCGUACCUUUUGUAUAAUGGGUCAGCGACUUAAUUUUAGUAGCAAGGUUAACCGUUUAGGGGAGCCGUAGGGAAACCGAGUCUUAACUGGGCGUACAGUUGCUAGGAUUAGACCCGAAACCAGGUGAUCUAGCCAUGGGCAGGUUGAAGGUUGAGUAACAUCAACUGGAGGACCGAACCGACUAAUGUUGAAAAAUUAGCGGAUGACUUGUGGCUAGGGGUGAAAGGCCAAUCAAACCUGGAGAUAGCUGGUUCUCCCCGAAAGCUAUUUAGGUAGCGCCUCGGACGAAUACUACUGGGGGUAGAGCACUGUUAAGGCUAGGGGGUCAUCCCGACUUACCAACCCUUUGCAAACUCCGAAUACCAGUAAGUACUAUCCGGGAGACACACGGCGGGUGCUAACGUCCGUCGUGGAGAGGGAAACAACCCAGACCGCCAGCUAAGGUCCCAAAGUAUAGCUAAGUGGGAAACGAUGUGGGAAGGCUCAGACAGCCAGGAUGUUGGCUUAGAAGCAGCCAUCAUUUAAAGAAAGCGUAAUAGCUCACUGGUCGAGUCGGCCUGCGCGGAAGAUGUAACGGGGCUAAGCUAUACACCGAAGCUGCGGCUACGUACCUUAGGGUAUGUGGGGUAGGGGAGCGUUCUGUAAGCCGUUGAAGGUGGUCUGUAAGGGCUGCUGGAGGUAUCAGAAGUGCGAAUGCUGACAUGAGUAACGAUAAAGGGAGUGAAAAACUCCCUCGCCGGAAGACCAAGGGUUCCUGUCCAACGUUAAUCGGGGCAGGGUAAGUCGACUCCUAAGGCGAGGCCGAAAGGCGUAGUCGAUGGGAAACAG